UUCCGGCCAAAGUUCCGACGGCGACAUGGCCUCCUGGCGCCUGAUUUUCUCUACCGGGGCGUCCCGGCUGCCCUGCAGCCUCGCUCCUCGGCGGUUUUUCAGUUGUGGGACAAAAAUAUUAUGUCAAAGCACUGAAGCUGCCCAGGCUAAAUUCUUUCCUCCCAUUCAAAAAGUGAUGCUACCUCCCAAUAGUUUUCAAGGAAAAGUGGCGUUCAUUACUGGGGGAGGCACCGGCCUUGGGAAAGCAAUGACAACCUUCCUGUCCAGCCUGGGUGCUCAGUGCGUGAUAGCCAGCAGGAAUAUUGAUGUUCUGAAAGCUUCUGCAGAACAGAUUUCAUCUCAGACUGGAAAUAAGGUUCAUCCAGUUCAGUGUGAUGUGAGAGAUCCUAACAUGGUACAGAAGGCAGUGUCAGAACUGAUCAAAGCAGCAGGUCUUCCUGAUGUCGUGAUAAACAACGCAGCAGGAAAUUUUAUUUCUCCCUCUGAAAGACUGUCACCUAAUGCUUGGAAGACGAUCAAUGACAUAGUUCUGAAUGGCACAGCCUAUGUGACGCUAGAGAUUGGAAAACAACUAAUUAAAGCACAGAAAGGAGCAGCAUUUCUUAGUAUCACAACCAUCUAUGCUGAGAGUGGAUCAGGUUUUGUGGUGCCAAGUGCUUCUUCCAAAGCAGGCGUGGAAGCCAUGAGCAAGUCUCUUGCAGCUGAAUGGGGUAGAUAUGGAAUGCGAUUCAAUGUGAUUCAGCCGGGGCCUAUAAAAACCAAAGGUGCCUUUAGCCGUAUGGACCCAACUGGAGCAUUUGAGAGAGAAAUGAUUGACAGAAUUCCCUGUGGUCGGCUAGGGACUGCAGAAGAACUGGCAAAUCUCGCUGUUUUCCUUUGUAGUGAUUAUGCUUCUUGGAUUAAUGGAGCAGUCAUCAGAUUUGAUGGUGGAGAGGAAGUGUUCAUAUCAGGUGAAUUCAACAGUCUGAGGAAGGUUACCAAGGAACAAUGGGACACGAUAGAAGGACUUAUCAGGAAGACAAAAGGCUCCUGAGGUGACUACAUGCCUUCAUCGUGGUGACACUAAAGUCAGACAAUAGAGUGCAAACCGACUGUAGUAUGAUAGGAUAUUUUUUCUUCAAGUUGUAAAAACUUAGGACGACUGAACUGCUUGGGUCUCUGCCACCAAGUGGAGACACUGAUGGGGCUCAGGUUCUCCUGCCUUCAGCCUGAGCCAACCUGGCUGGCGGGGGUUUAUUUGUGGAGAUAACCAGUGGAUGGAAGAUCUAGCUCUCUGUUCCUCUCCCCUUCUCUGUGUCACUCUGUCUUUUUGAUGAAUAAAAAAUAAGUAAGAGUCACUUUAUUUCUGGUAAACAAAAUAACAAAUAAAAUAAUUUUCCAAUAAGUAACAUUAAAUGCUGUUUUAAAAUGUAGAAACGUGGCCUUGUUCAGUGGUGUAGCAAGGUAAUCCUUGACCUGUGAGGCUGGCAUCCCAUAUGGCAGCCAAUUCAGGUUCCAGCUGCUCCAUUUCCAAUUGAGCUCCCUGCUUGUGGCCUGGAAAAGCAUCAGCGGAUGAAGCCCUUGGGCUCCUGCAUCAACUGAGAGACCUGAAUGAAGCUCCUGGCUCCAGGCAUCAGAUCAGCAUCGGUUCACUUGGGGAGUGAACUAACAGG